rnacentral:sRNA from 1 species
UCUUUGCAUUAGGGAUUGCAGCGGAAAUCCUUUUUUAUCUCAAAAAAGAUUGCAGCGGAAAGCCCGACCCGCA